GACGAACGCUGGCGGCGUGCCUAAUACAUGCAAGUCGAACGCAGUGGGGACGGGUGAGUAACACGUGGGUCACCUCCCAUCAGAGGGGAUAACACUUGGAAAAAGGUGAUAAAACGAUACUUAUGGAUGGUGCCGCGGUGAAUUGGCUAGUUGGUGAGGUAACGGCUCACAAAGGCCACGAUGCAUAGCCAACCUGAGAGGUGGAUCGGCAACACUGGGACUGAGACACGGCCCAGACUCCUACGGUAGGCAGCAGGAGGGAAUCUUCGGAAAGGGACGAAAGUCUGACCGAGCAAGGCCGCGUGAGUGAAGAAGGUUUUCGGAUCGUAAAACUCUGUUGUUAGAGAAGCGGUAUCUAACCAGAAAGCCACGGCUAACUACGUGCCAGCAGCCGCGGUAAUAC
rnacentral:rRNA from 1 species